rnacentral:lncRNA from 1 species
CUAGAAUAGCCAGCAAUCUUCAGCUACCAUUGUAUGCUAAGAUAUAGUCAGUGUCCUUUUCAGUGUUAAAUUUCUGUAAUUGCCAACCCCUCCCCCUUGGUAGGCAUUUUAAAGGCCUGCAUGUUGGUAUGAGAUCAUUCAUCUUUUGGCUGCUCAGAGAGAAAGAUAGACUGGAGAGUUCAAAACCCUAACAGAUUAUCUUGUUUAGGAAUUUCUAGUGUCCUGUUCCCAGAUGAAAAGGAGCCUAAGGUGUGAAGAAUCAUGCUCUUACCUGUUCAAUCAUCAUACUACACAGACUCUGGAAAUGCCUUGUGGGCAAACUGUUCUCUUACACAAUACCAUCGAUGCUACACCAUUAAACAGACUUGCAUAUUAAAACGUGAAGCAUGUGAGCCUCUUGAGAAUCAACAGAAAACCAAGAGUCAAUAUAUGUCUUAUCAGAUCCAAAGAAGUAACUUGACUAAGAUGCUGUGGAAUGAACAUGAGUUCUUCAUAUGUGGAGUUGGAGGAGAGGUUAUUCCUGUUUCCUAUGGAAUUAGCACUGGGAAAAGU